rnacentral:rRNA from 1 species
GGCUGAAACUCGCCUACAUGAAGCUGGAGUUACUAGUAAUCGCAGAUCAGAAUGCUGCGGUGAAUGCGUUCCCGGGUCUUGUACACACCGCCCGUCACACCACGGAAGUUGGGGGCGCCCGAAGCCACUUAGCUAACCCAUUUGGGAAGCGAGUGUCGAAGGUGAAAUCAAUAACUGGGGUGAAGUCGUAACAAGGUAUC